rnacentral:lncRNA from 1 species
GAUGAAAUUGAGAUUGUUGAUCCAUCGCAGUGUUUAGUAGGUGAAUCGACGGAACAUAAGAUGCACCCCGAGUUCGUGACACGACGACGUCACUAUAAAUAGAAAUGUCAGUGUGUGUGUGUGUGUGCGUGCGUGCGUGUACACUUCUUCUUGUUAUAAUAACCACAUGUCACACAUCAGUCUCCAGUCCGACCAGUCAGUUUCCUCUGCGCUUUUUUUGUUAACCAAUACUAUCUCGAGAGACACCGACUUCCUGGAGUCGCAUCUCGGACCCAGUCCGCAGUUCGUGCCCCAGCGAGAAGGAGAGAGAGAGAUAGCGAAGGGAGCGGGCACCUCGCGCGGCUUGCCUGUAGAACAUGGUUCCCCUGGUGGUCGCGGUGGCGCUUUCGCUGUUCUUUUUUCAUUUGUACCGGAGGAGGACUUUACACCGCGCUCGCCGGACUCAGGAGCGCGAGGAGCUCGAAAGGCGCGAAGGGCUCGCGGAGCGCGAGGAAGCAGCGCUCCUCUUUCAGGUUCCUGAGAAGAAGCAUUUCACAGGUUGCGACGAGGUUGAUACCAAAGGGCAGUACCCCAAAGUGAAGCAAUCCCUUCAGCAAGUGUUCGACUGCACCUACCUACAGGUUGCCCUGUACCUCUAUGGGAACUCUGUGCCCAGGGACAGCCAGCCCCUCCGUGACGCUCUGCAGCAGGAGUUUGACCUGGUCGUGCACAGUGUCAUCUUGGCCGUCAACAAUCUCAAUGUCGACGGGAUCAUUUUGGGCUGGAUCUGCAUCCUCACCCAGCACUUGCAUGAUGUCAAGCAGACAGGCAGGUGCAAGCUGUUCAGCUCUAGAGAGGAGGAGAUGUCAGUCCUCAGGGAAUAUUCGGGAGUUAUGGUGCGGAAGCUCAGCCCCCCAUCCCUGAGUGGACCGAAUCUCAACCACUGCAUCUUACAGGAGAUUGUAGCCUUCAAAGUGCUGGAGGUGCUGGUGGAUUUUCUUUCGAACCCAGACACUAUGAACCAGCUGGUGGUGAGCCAGCUUGGUGCUGAAUCUCCAGCAACCUCCACAAAGCCAGAAGGGGCUCAGGAAAGGAUAGUGCACGUACAGGAGACUGAAGAUCAAGAACCAAUGACUGAAGACACAAAAACCAUGCAGACCAGUGACUUAAAGGGCAAAAAGAAAAAGACCAGACUGCAGAGGAUGAAAUCUAAACUUAAGAAGAUAAUGAAGUCCAAGAAAGACAAAGGAAGUGACGACGAGCCGGAUAGAAUGUUCCGCAGUUGUAAUGCUAGCGAUGUGCUGGGCAGCGACGGUUGCAGUGGUGAUGACGACGACGAUGGUUGCAGUGGCGAUGGUGACAGCGAUGGCUCCACUGGUAGCAUCAGCGGCUCUUCUAGUGAGGACAGUGCCAAACAGAGUCCAGAUAGCUGCGCCGAUAACAUAUUGUGCCUGCUUUCAUACGAGAUUUGGCAGAUAAGUGUUUGGACAGCCUCAAUCUCACAGGUGGAGCAACAGGACAAGGAGCUGCUUUUUACAAUACACCUGGAGGGCAAAGUCGAGACAGAGGCCCUUCAGUGGGACACUGUGAAAUCCCAGAUGGAUUUUAAGAAGUUACAGUCUGACUUGCAGGCAGGAAACAUGAACAACCAAGAGGGCUCUUCUCACCUGCCCUCAGUAGCAGCGGUGCUGGAGAACACGGAAAGGAGCAUAGAUGAUGAAUUCAAAGAGGAGGCCAAAGCUACACUGAACUGUUUUCUGCAGGCGCUUCUUUCAGACAGCGAGAUGAGAAACAAGAGAGAUGUGUUUGUGUUCCUGUGCCCACUGGAUCAGCUGCUGGAGGAGCGGCAGAGGGAGGAGCCCCUCAGUGAGAUAUACAAACUGCUGCACACCCUGGCCUCAUUCUUUACUGAUGUAGAGCAAGAAGAGGAGCACAGUGGUGAGGUAGAGAGAACCCCUGAUGGCCCUAAAUGUCAGCUUGGGUCUGGGAGUGGUCCUCCGGACUCAGGUGAAGGAGGUGAUGGCUCUACUCCAGGUCAUCAUGAGCGCCUGAGGGCCCCCCUCACAGAGCCCAACAGAGCCGAGAGGCAGCCUGCUGAGAUGUCCAAAAGCACAAAUAGCUCUGGCUUUGAGUUCCGAGCACUUCCUCUUCCUGCUGGCAAUAUGGACCAGGCUCCAGACCAGGACACAGAGAGAAUUCCCCAGCGUCUUCACCGGCAUGUUGACCAAAGCCAAGGCAGGGACUGUAAGAGCUUUCCGCAGGACGGCAAACCAACUGAAAAGAGCAAGCUGCCUGCCAAGGUGCCUGUGGUACUCCCCAACCGAAAGGAAAAAGGGCAAAGGGACCCAGAGCAGGAAAAGGCACCUCAACAUGGUAAAAUGGACAUGUCCAGCAAGUACACUAAAGCCCUGACUGAUCUGCUGAAGGAAAUAUGUGAUCAUUCAACAGUUGUGAAAUUAUGUUGCUCUGAAUUCGUGCAGCGGCUUAUACAGAACACAGUGAAGGGCUACCUGAAGUGGCUGGACUUCACAGAGGACCAAGUUGCGUCUUUAAUUAGCAACAUCCGGGAGAAGCAGUGGCCCGAGGGGGUCCCAGAGGUCUUAGAACAACAAGAAACCGCCCGAGACAUGAGCGAUAUGGAGAAGGCUGAGCUGAAGGAGAAGGCCUGGGGACUCAUCCAUGCCAAACGUCCAAUGGCUAUGAAAUUUAUGAAGGCUGACUUGGAGAAAGUGUUUCAUAGCUUCCAGGAUGCAGAGCAGAACAAGAAGCUGGUUUAUAUGCUGUUUUCGUUUCUACUGCUGAAGAUGUUUCCCGAAGAAAGGGGUCUGACUGAUAAAGCCAAAGCACUUUUAAAAGUCCCUCCGUUAUUUGACUCAGUUUGAGUGUGGUCAAGAAGAUGGAUUUUUAUCAGCUAUCAGAGCUAUUUGUGUAUCCCGGAGGCAGCACUUUACAGUAACAGGGGUAACUGGUAGUGUAGUGCUUAGAGCUGUUGCUUUUAGACCCACAGAUUGCAGGUUCAAAUCUCUCUCUAGCUGUAGUACUCCUGAGCAAGGUACUUAAAUUACUCCUGUAAAAAUUACUCUGCUGUACAAAUGGGUUAAUACUUGUAGGUGGUUUAACAUUGCAUUGCAACAUUGCAUUUUGGAGAAAAGUGUCACCUAAAUGCAUUAUUGUAAUGAGCCACAAGAGAGGAACUGAAGCCCAUCAGGUUCCAAUACAAGGCUGAGAAGUCCUCCUGCACAAUCUUGAAGGUGCUUUCACAGAAUAUAUUAGUAGUGUGUAUGCUGUGAAACACACUACUAAUACAGAGAUUAAGCAAAAAACAUAUUUAUAUAUUCAUGUCUUCCAAAAGUACACCAUUGUUUAUUUUAAUAACCAAUGGAUAACAGGUAGUACCGGUAAUGGUACUGGGUGUGAAUCUGUUUAUUUUCCCCACCUGGUGUCCUCCCACAUUCCAGAGAGAUUUGGUUUAGUUAUAUCAGUAGCACUGAAUUCCCUUUGGUGUGUGUGUGUGUGUGUGUGUGUGUCUGUGUGUCAGAGAGUGAGAGAGAGCAAGAGAAAGAUAUAUAUUGUGCUGUGAUGGACUGGCAUCCCAUCCACACAGCACUCUACCAUGUGCCCUUUGUUUUAUAGGCUCCAGACCCCUGGGAGCCCCUUUAGACAUUGUAACAACAGAUCAAGGUCAAUUAUAUAAACUAAUGUUAUAGAGUUUAAAAGUUUUUUAUCCUCAACAAUUUUCAUUCAUUGAACUUACUGCAGUGACAUUAACUCUGAGAUUUAACUUUAUGUAAAUAUUUGGACAAGCGGUUCUGAGUGUGUGUGUGUGUGUGUGUGUAAAUAUUUUUUUUGCUUUAUCAUUAGCACAUUGAUUUGUGCUGCCUUUAUUCAUGAGGUACUGAGAGUACUGAGGAGAUAAAAUAUUGACAUGUGCAAUUUACAUCUGGAGUGCAAUGAACUUGGGUGUAUUUUCCAGUGGGACCUGAGACAUUGCUGGACAUUCAUAACAAUUUUAUUAUAGUAUUAAUGAGCACUUCAUACAUACCUAAAAAUAGUGUGACAGUAAUUCUCUUCAUUAAGGUCUUUAUAAGAACAUAAAAGACAGAACUGUAUUUUGACUGUACACACAUGGGGCAUUUUAAUAUUGCAUUAGUUAGGAUUUUCAUUGAGUUGGCUAUACAUGGUGGACCUCUUUUUUUAAAUAUAAUUUGAUUAAUUAAAAAAAGAAAAAAUAUAUAUGUUUAGUAUUCUGAAUAGUAAUGUAAACUUUGAACAAUAAAGUGACU